rnacentral:lncRNA from 1 species
CAGCUCUGGAGUCCACACGGAAGGGCCCUCGACCUACAUUCCCAGUAGGGCUGUGUCUUUGUUCUUCAAUUGGAUGCAGAAAUUCAAGACUCUAGAGGUCACACUCCGAGAUAUUAGCAAGUUGAAUAAACAAGAUAUCAAAUACCUGGGGAAGAUAUUCAGCUCCGCCAGCAACCUCAAGUUGUACAUCAAGAGGUGCGCAGCCGUGGCCGGAAGGCUCAGCUCAGUCCUCAGAACCUGCAAGAACAUCCACUCCCUCAUGGUGGAAGCUAGUCCCCUCACCACGGAGGAUGAGCAGUACAUCACGUCUGUGACAGACCUCCAGAACUUAAGCAUUCACGACCUCCAC